rnacentral:rRNA from 1 species
AGCUUAAUGUGUGUAUAUUAAGUAAUUUCUGCUCAAUGGGAUACUAAAUAGCCGCAGUACCCUGACUGUGCAAAGGUAGCAUAAUAAAUUGGCUUAUAAUUGAAGUCUUGUAUGAAAGGAUGUAAUGAGUGUAACCUGUCUUUAAAGCUUUUUUAAAAACUUUCUGAGUAAGUGAAAAUUCUUACAAAAUAAUUAAAAGACGAGAAGACCCUAAAAAUUUUAAAUAAGCUUGUAUUUAUUUGCGGUUUGUUUUUUGUUGGGGCGACAUAUUUACAAAAAAACUUAAUUUUAGUAAUUUCAAAAUUAAAAGAAUUUUUUUAAUAAAAAUUAAAUUACUUUAGGGAUAACAGCAUAAUUUAAUAUUAAGCUUGUGACCUCGAUGUUGGAUUAAGGAGCAAUAAGAUCAGAAGUCUUAUUACCUGGUUCUGUUCGAACCACUACACCUUACAUG